UAACUACUCAUUUUAAAAAUCAAUUUAUAUGUGUGUAAUAUAACACAUUAACUAUCUCCUUUUUAUCUGAUACAGGGUUUCUCUGCAGCUUUGGAGUCUAUCCUGGAACCAGCUCUUGUAGACCAGGCUGGCCUUGAACUCACAGAGAUCCACCUGCCUCUGCCUCUUGAGUGCUGGGAUUAAAGGCGUGCGCCACCACUAUCUUCUAAAUCUUAAUUGAAUAUUUGCGACUCAUGAAACCAUCGUUCCUAUGCUUACUCUUGCUCCUCUUUUGACAUCUUUGUUGGAACAGUAUUUUUCCUCUGUAUUUUUUAAAUUUAUUUUUAAUUUUUUGUUUGUGCAUAUUUUGCUUACAGGUAUGUCUUUGAGUACCUGCCUGGUGUCUUCCGAGGUCAGAAAACGGUGUGAGAUCUCUUGGACCUGAGGUUAUAGAUAUUUAAAACAACUGGACAAGCUCUCUGCUUCAUGCCCAUGGAUACGAUGAGAUCAGCUGCCUCAAGCCCUUGCCUGCCACUGUGAGUUCCCUAAUGAUGGGAUGUAACUUGGAACUGUAAAUAAAAACAAACUAUUUCUCCUGAUUUUUUUUUCUAGUGAAUCAUCACACUUCAACAUGGAACUAAACUCCAAACCAUCAUAGAAGCCCGAAGGGACCUGACCAACUGAGCCUUCAGGAAAACAUGCUUAGCGGAUCUCAAUCUAUCUUCCCCAGCAGAGACACAAAUCCAUGAGGCUGGAGGGGAGAUGGCUCAUGAUGAGAUCUCAUGCAGGAUGAAGUGCUCCCAAGUCUCAUCUCUGUAUAUUGUCCCAUUGUGAGUCUCUG